rnacentral:rRNA from 1 species
AUUGAACGCUGGCGGCAGGCUUAACACAUGCAAGUCGAGCGGGGGAAGGUAGCUUGCUACCGGACCUAGCGGCGGACGGGUGAGUAAUGCUUAGGAAUCUGCCUAUUAGUGGGGGACGACAUCUCGAAAGGGAUGCUAAUACCGCAUACGUCCUACGGGAGAAAGCAGGGGAUCUUCGGACCUUGCGCUAAUAGAUGAGCCUAUGUCAGAUUAGCUAGUUGGUGGGGUAAAGGCCUACCAAGGCGACGAUCUGUAGCGGGUCUGAGAGGAUGAUCCGCCACGCUGGGACUGAGACACGGCCCAGACUCCUACGGGAGGCAGCAGUGGGGAAUAUUGGACAAUGGGGGGAACCCUGAUCCAGCCAUGCCGCGUGUGUGAAGAAGGCCUUAUGGUUGUAAAGCACUUUAAGCGAGGAGGAGGCUACUUUAGUUAAUACCUAGAGAUAGUGGACGUUACUCGCAGAAUAAGCACCGGCUAACUCUGUGCCAGCAGCCGCGGUAA